AGUGACGAUAGUUAAACGGCCGCGGUACCCUAACCGUGCAAAGGUAGCACAAUCACUUGUUCUUUAAAUCAGGACUAGUAUGAACGGCUCAACGAGGGCUACACUGUCUCCCCCCCUUAAUCAGUGAAACUGAUCCCCUCGUGAAGAAGCGAGCAUAACCCUAUAAGACGAGAAGACCCCAUGGAACUUUAAACUCGUACCACUGCCCCCCCCCCCACAUACCACACCACCCGGAGCAAUAUGGCUACAAGUCUUUCGGCUGGGGCGACCACGGAAAAAAAUAAAACCUCCACGAUGAAAAGGAAUACACCCCAAUCCAAGAACAACUACUCCAAGAAUCAACAAAUUGACACAAAUUGACCCAAACACCUUGAUCAACGAACCAAGCUACCCUGGGGAUAACAGCGCAAUCCAUUUCAAGAGCCCCCAUCGACAAAUGGGCUUACGACCUCGAUGUUGGAUCAGGGUAUCCUAGUGGUGCAGCCGCUACUAAAGGUUCGUUUGUUCAACGAUUAAAACCCUACGUGAUCUGAGUUCAGACCG
rnacentral:rRNA from 1 species